rnacentral:pre_miRNA from 1 species
AUGUUACUCCCUCCGUCCAAAAAAGCUUGUCCCUCAAAUAGAUGUAUCUAGCAUCAAGUUAGUGCUAGAUACAUCCAUUUGAGGGACAAGCUUGGGACAAGCUUUUUCGGACGGAGGGAGUAAUAA